AUUGAACGCUGGCGGCAGGCCUAACACAUGCAAGUCGAACGGUAACAGGAAGCAGCUUGCUGCUUCGCUGACGAGUGGCGGACGGGUGAGUAAUGUCUGGGAAGCUGCCUGAUGGAGGGGGAUAACUACUGGAAACGGUAGCUAAUACCGCAUAAUGUCGCAAGACCAAAGAGGGGGACCUUCGGGCCUCUUGCCAUCGGAUGUGCCCAGAUGGGAUUAGCUUGUUGGUGGGGUAACGGCUCACCAAGGCGACGAUCCCUAGCUGGUCUGAGAGGAUGACCAGCCACACUGGGACUGAGACACGGUCCAGACUCCUACGGGAGGCAGCAGUGGGGAAUAUUGCACAAAGGGCGCAAGCCUGAUGCAGCCAUGCCGCGUGUAUGAAGUAGGCCUUCGGGUUGUAAAGUACUUUCAGCGGGGAGGAAGGGAGUAAAGUUAAUACCUUUGCUCAUUGACGUUACCCGCAGAAGAAGCACCGGCUAACUCCGUG
rnacentral:rRNA from 1 species